rnacentral:rRNA from 1 species
UGGGGAAUAUUGCACAAUGGGCGAAAGCCUGAUGCAGCGACGCCGCGUGAGGGAUGACGGCCUUCGGGUUGUAAACCUCUUUCAGUAGGGACGAAGCGCAAGUGACGGUACCUGCAGAAGAAGCACCGGCUAACUACGUGCCAGCAGCCGCGGUAAUACGUAGGGUGCGAGCGUUGUCCGGAAUUACUGGGCGGAAAGAGCUCGUAGGCGGUUUGUCACGUCGUCUGUGAAAUCCUAGGGCUUAACCCUGGACGUGCAGGCGAUUGGGGCUGACUUGAGUACUACAGGGGAGACUGGAAUUUCUGGUGUAGCGGUGGAAUGAACAGAUAUCAGGAAGAACACCGAUGGCGAAGGCAGGUCUCUGGGUAGUAACUGACGCUGAGGAGCGAAAGCAUGGGUAGCGAACAGG